rnacentral:rRNA from 1 species
GAUGAACGCUAGCGGCAGGCUUAACACAUGCAAGUCGAGGGGUAUAGGAAGCUUGCUUCCUAGAGACCGGCGCACGGGUGCGUAACGCGUAUGCAACCUACCUUUUACAGAGGGAUAGCCCAGAGAAAUUUGGAUUAAUACCUCAUAGUAUAUGUUUUUCGCAUGUUAGACAUAUUAAAGUUCCAACGGUAAAAGAUGGGCAUGCGUCCUAUUAGCUAGAUGGUAAGGUAACGGCUUACCAUGGCAACGAUAGGUAGGGGUCCUGAGAGGGAGAUCCCCCACACUGGUACUGAGACACGGACCAGACUCCUACGGGAGGCAGCAGUGAGGAAUAUUGGACAAUGGGCGCAAGCCUGAUCCAGCCAUGCCGCGUGCAGGAAGAAGCAUCUAUGCGUUGUAAACUGCUUUUAUACAGGAAGAAACGACUCUUGCGAGAGGCAUUGACGGUACUGUAUGAAUAAGCACCGGCUAACUCCGUGCCAGCCGCCGCCGUAACAC